ACCGAACAUAGUCAAUAGUCUUACCCUGAAGCUUGAUCCUCUUGUUCAUGGGAACGUCUUCACCGAACAGCGCUUUUCUAAGUGUUGUAGAACUGAAUGCAGGUGAUGCAGGAAGUACAGCGGUGUUCAGGAGUUCCUGUGUCAGUUCCAUGAGAUUCAUGCCCAAACACCGCUGCCUGUGUUCAUGUGAACAAGAUGGCCGCCACUUCAUGGUCGUCCAUAGGAAUUGCAGCCACCCAGACGAACACUUAGAACACUGUGGUGGAAAUUGCUACAAAGUAGCAAUUAGGCUUAACAAGCUCCAGGGUGGACUCUGGUUAAUGCGGCUGUUGGAUUCCUGAACCAAAUAAAUAGUCCCACAAACCAAGUCUGUUCAUAUAGUUUUUUAAAGGGCACAUAGUCUUUUGGUAAGAGGCUGGCCAGCAGGCACCUCCAAGAACACAUAACGAGGCUUGUCACAAUACACACUGACUCAAGUAUACUCAAGUACACUGCAAUAAUUAAGCCCCAAGUGGGGCUAAAAACGAGAUAUAGGCUGCUUACAUAAGGCUCUAUCCCCAAAAAAUCCCAAAACAGUCAAAAUACAAAUUGAGUAAGGAGCACAACCGUAAAUGCAUAUAUACAACAAAAUCUUUAUUACAUGGGUGCACAUAAGUGGGAUAUCUCAUUAAAUAUGAAACAAGAAAACAAAGUCAUAUAAUAUAGUACAGCAACAGCCAGAAAAGGUUUUGGAUCUAUACACAUGCUAAAUGCGUAAAGGCCCUGGGGAGAUAGCGCAGUUAAGCAGACAAGGGCACAUGUAGGAGUGUGGGGAUAGAUGCGUGGGAUUGGAUGGG